UAACUUUUAUGCUAAGUGGUUAGAGCGUCCUCCUCUGAUGAAGGAAGACGUGGGUUCAAACCCCGGCUGAGUUAU